rnacentral:lncRNA from 1 species
GCCCAUCGUAUUGGUAGAAAAGGCGAGAGGACCAGGCUAAUAUUAGCCAAAUUCUCUUCAUAUGUACAUCGUGAACUAGUGCGAAAAAAACGCUAAAACAUUGAAAAAUUCUUCGUUUGGAAUAUCAGAACAGUUACCAACAGAUGUUCAAAAUUGCAGGAAAGAACUAUUACCACUCAUGAAAGAACUUAGAGACCAAAACGUAAAAGCCUACUUUGUCAGGGACAAAAUUCAUGUUGGCGGCCAGGAAUAUAAACCUUAGCGGUUACCUAGAGAAC